UGACCCGUCUUGAAACACGGAUUUAUCGUGUGCGCAAGUCAUUGGGUGUUGAAAACCCAGAGGCGCAAUGAAAGUGAAGGCAUCCCUCGCGGAGCCGACGUGCGAGCACGGGCACUGCGGUGUCCGAGUGCAGCAUGGCCCCAUCCUGACUGCUUGCAGUGGGGGUGGAGGAAGAGCGUACGCGGUGAGACCCGAAAGAUGGUGAACUAUUCCUGAGCAGGAUGAAGCAGAGGAAACUCUGGUGGAAGUCCGAAGCGAUUCUGACGUGCAAAUCGAUCGUCUGACUUGGGUAUAGGGGCGAAAGACUAAUCGAACCAUCUAGUAGCUGGUUCCUUCC
rnacentral:rRNA from 1 species